AUGCACGUCUCAGAUGAAACGGUGCCUACAAAGUCGGUCUGCGAAUGGCUCAUUAAACCAGCUAUGAUCUCAGCAGUGAAUACCAAUGUGCAGAGUAGCCCGGACAAGUUCACUUGGAAGGGCGGACAUGGUGUACUCGGAUACCCUUUCUGAAACAGAAGGCUAAUACGUGUGGUCGAAUGGCGAUUCCGCCCUAUCCUUUAUUAUUAAGUGAUGGGGUGCGGAGGGCUGACUCAAAGAGUAGCCGCUCUUUUCAAGAGCUCUAGCGAGGAAAUGGUUGACUCAAGCCUUCACUGUUUCAAAGAGAGGUGUGGUCCACAGCAGUUGCAAUCGCGGCUGUUGCGUACAUCCAUACGUCCAUGUGCAGCGGUAGCAGUCUCUGGACUGCUUCAUUGUUCGAGUUUCUGACCCAUCAGCCGUUCAUCGUGGUGGAGGGGACCACGAUGGCGAUCACGGGUAACGGGGAAUUGGGGUUCGAUUCCGGAGAGGGAGCCUGAAAAACGGCUACCACGGCCAAGGUUGGCAGCAGGCACGAAAAUUGCCCUAUACCGAUGUGCAUGGUGAGGCAGCGACGAGAAAUGUUACCUGUUCUAGUCUUACGACUGGGACUGGUGGAAUGGAUGAGGACCUAAGUAAUGCAGUGAGUAUCAACUCGAGGGCCAGUCUGGUGCCAGCAGCCGCGGUAAUUCCAGCUCGAGUGGCCUACUUUGACGUUGUUGCUGUUAAAAAGCUCGUAGUUGGUUGGCAUCCGAGUCGCUCUGUUUCUAAUCCUUACCUCGGUAAGGGGUGAAACAACCGAGUGGCUUGAUGUGCCUCUAUGUCGGUUCGGAAUGUCAAAUGGCCUUCAACUGGGGUUUUCCUCUCCUUCCUCGGAAGUUGAGAAUCUCUCUCGGUUGUUGGUUGAUAGUUGCUUCCUUGAACCUGAUGUAGUUUCUGCAGCGGAAAUGAUUCCCCGUCCAGGAAUCGAUGGUGAUCUCAGCCUUCUCCGAGUUUUGUUCCUCUCGAGGUUCAUUACAAGGGGACUGAGGUAUAGCAACGUUUCUAUCCGGUCUACAUCUGCAAAAGGAGUGAGCUUGCUCACCUGAUCAGCUUCUCUCAAGGAACCGAUUGGCUAUGCGCGGAGGAUUGAUGGUGAGUUGUCCUCUUGUGAAAAAAAGAGCGGGCUCUCCCUCGGGAGGGACUCACCCUUCUCUUCACUACCAACUUUGAGRAUCUUCCUGUCUUUCCAAUCUGCGGCGUUAAAAGGGGACGCCCGCUGAAUGUUACCGUGAAUAAAGCAAAGCGUUAAAUGCAGUUGACUUCUUGUCGAUCGCAUGUCUCAGUGUGGCAUAACAAGGGANCGUUCCUAUGGAACUCGAUGUUCUGGUACUCUUUACGAGUCCACUAUUGGAGGAAUUUCGGCUCUCUCUGGUGAAGCUUGAUGAACUAUCUCGAUAGUCUUGUUGAGUGGAUCCGAGGAGUUGAAGUGCUGACGGAGGUCGUUAUUGUGCCCAGGGUACUGAGAGGCGAGCGGUGAAAUGCUUGGACCCUCUUCAGGACCACCAGAAGCGAAAGCGCUGGGCGGAUCUCGACCUGCCAAUCAAGAACGAGAGUAUGGGGAUCGAAGAGGAUCAGAUACCCUUGUAGUCCAUGCUGUAAACGAUGCCAACUGAGGGUCGAGGUUGUGUCUUCGGAAUCUCUGCCUCGCCCAACCUCCCAUAACGAGAAANCCAAGUGUAUGGGNUCAGGGGGAGUACUGNNGCAAGGNUGAAACUUAAAGGAAUUGACGGAGUGGUACCACAAGGCGUGGAAUGUGCNNNNNAAUUUGACUCAACGCGGGGAACGUUACCAGAUCAGCACGUGAAGAGGACAAGACAGGUUGAAGCACUUUCUCGAUAACUCGAAAAGUGGUGCAUGGCCGUUCCUGGUUGGUGGAGUGAUUUGUCUGGUUGAUUCCGAUAACGAGCGAGGUCUUCACCUCUCAAUAGCCUGUGUCCUCGCCCAUGUAGGGUGCCUGCAGCUGUCUUCCCUUCGUUCUUUCCUAUCCUCGGGUAGGGAGGAGUGUUGGGUUAGGCAGUGUUGCGACCUGAGAGUGACACGCCAACUUCCAAGCUUCUCAGUGGGGUCGGACACUUUGUCUUCGACUAAGUGCCCAUAUCCGGAAGCCGACAGCAGGUCUGUGAUGCCCUUAGAUGCUCUGGGCUGCACGCGCAUUACACUGACGUGGGGAAUCAGUGUCUUUCUAGGACCCUUCUGAACUUGGGCCUCAAAACCCAAGGGAAGGGGGGUCUGGCUUGAACUCCUGUUCCGAGGCUGGAGUGGGGAACCUCCAAGUCUACGUCGUGAUGGGGAUCGGUGCUUGAAACUGUUUGCCUUAAACGAGGAAUGCCUAGUAAGUGCAAGUCAACAGCUUGCACUGACUUCGUCCCUGCCACUUGUACACACCGCCCGUCGUUGCUACCGAUGGUGUUGAGAUAGAGGUCUAAGGAGACUAGUAGCUUGUAGAGAACCUCGGUCCUCUACCUGUGAACGCCGAAUUCGACCAAUAUCUUACUGUUGGAGGAAGCAAAAGUCGUAACAAGGUAGCUGUA
rnacentral:rRNA from 1 species